rnacentral:rRNA from 1 species
CAACGUGAACAACCUGUCCCUACGUUCCGGAUAAUUGACCGAAAGGUCUUGUAAUACGGGGGAGGGUCCAUCGGAGGCAUCUUCAGGUGGAAGGAACGCGCAAGCGGCGCAGGGAGGGGUUCGCGGAUUAUCAGCUUGUUGGUGAGGUAAUGGCUCACCAAGGCGACGACGAUUAGCUGGUCUGAGAGGAUGGUCAGCCACAUUGGAACUGAGACACUGUCCAG